rnacentral:tRNA from 2 species
GGCCCAGUUUUUGCAGGCGGUAUCGACGUCUGGAUACGGACUCAUAAUCCGUCGGUUGCAGGUUCGAAGCCUGCCGGGCCCA